UUAAUGUCCAGGAGAGUGGCCCUCCGCAUGGAGGGUUGACUAGAGAUUUAUCGGUAUGGGAUGAGCUUGCGUCCGAUUAGCUAGUUGGCGGGGCAACGGCCCACCAAGGCGACGAUCGGUAGCCGGCCUGAGAGGGUGAUCGGCCACAUUGGGACUGAGAUACGGCCCAGACUCCUACGGGAGGCAGCUGUAGGGAAUAUUGCACAAUGGGGGAAACCCUGAUGCAGCAACGCCACGUGUGGGAAGAAGCAUUUCGGUGUGUAAACCACUGUCAUGAGGGAAUAAGGCCCGCCUCCGGGCGGGAUUGAAUGUACCUUGAGAGGAAGCACCGGCAAACUUCGUGCCAGCGGCCGCGGUAAUACGAGGGGUGCAAGCGUUGUUCGGAAUUACUGGGCGUAAAGGGAGCGUAGGCGGAGAUUCAAGCGGAUUGUACAAUCCCGGGGCCCAACCCCGGCUCUGCAGUCCGAACUGGAUCUCUUGGAUAGUUCANGGGCAGGCGGAAUUCCUGGNGNAGCGGUGGAAUGCGUAGAGAUCAGGAAGAACACCGAUGGCGAANGCAGCCUGCUGGGGACUUAUCGACGCUGAGGCUCGAAAGUGCGGGUAGCAAACAGGAUUAGAUACCCUNGGUAGUCCGCACCGUAAACAAUG
rnacentral:rRNA from 1 species